rnacentral:rRNA from 1 species
GACGAACCGUGCGAACGUUGUUCGGAAUCACUGGGCUUAAAGGGCGCGUAGGCGGGCAGCCAAGUCCGGGGUGAAAUCCUUCGGCUUAACCGGAGAAUUGCCUGGGAUACUGGCUGUCUUGAGGGAGGUAGGGGCACGCGGAACUUCCGGUGGAGCGGUGAAAUGCGUAGAGAUCGGAAAGAACACCAACGGCGAAAGCACUCUGCUGGGCCGACACUGACACUGAGAGACGAAAGCUAGGGGAGCGAAUGGG